CUUGGUCAUUUAGAGGAAGUAAAAGUCGUAACAAGGUCUCCGUUGGUGAACCAGCGGAGGGAUCAUUAUCGAGUUUAUUCAACUCCCAAACCCUAUGUGAACUUACCACUUGUUGCUUCGGCGGCGCUUCGGCGUCGCCGGGGGUAUCAAACUCUUAUUGUUUUUACAGCAUUAUCUGAGUGGCCGAAAGGCAAAAAACAAAUGAAUCAAAACUUUCAACAACGGAUCUCUUGGUUCUGGCAUCGAUGAAGAACGCAGCGAAAUGCGAUACGUAAUGUGAAUUGCAGAAUUCAGUGAAUCAUCGAAUCUUUGAACGCACAUUGCGCCCGCCAGCAUUCUGGCGGGCAUGCCUGUUCGAGCGUCAUUUCAACCCUCGAGCCCGACUCUUCGGAGGACGGCUCGGCGUUGGGGACCGGCAGACUGCCCUCCGCCUCCGGGCGGGGGACGCCGCCCCCGAAAUUUAGUGGCGGCCCUUCGAGGCGACCUCUGCGUAGUAACUCACCUCGCACUGGGAAGAUCGAAGCGGCCACGCCGUAAAACACCCAACUUUUACAAGGUUGACCUCGAAUCAGGUAGGACUACCCGCUGAACUUAAGCAUAUCAAUAAGCGGAGGAAAAGAAACCAACAGGGAUUGCCCCAGUAACGGCGAGUGAAGCGGCAACAGCUCAAAUUUGAAAUCUGGCACCUAGUGCCCGAGUUGUAAUUUGUAGAGGAUGCUUUUGGCAAGGUGCCUUCCGAGUUCCCUGGAACGGGACGCCAUAGAGGGUGAGAGCCCCGUCUGGUCGGAUACCGCGCCUCUGUAAAGCUCCUUCGACGAGUCGAGUAGUUUGGGAAUGCUGCUCAAAAUGGGAGGUAUAUGUCUUCUAAAGCUAAAUAUUGGCCAGAGACCGAUAGCGCACAAGUAGAGUGAUCGAAAGACGAAAAGCACUUUGAAAAGAGGGUUAAAAAGUACGUGAAAUUGUUGAAAGGGAAGCGCCUAUGACCAGACUUGGGCCCGGUGAAUCAUCCAGCGUUCUCGCUGGUGCACUUUGCCGGGCACAGGCCAGCAUCAGUUUGGCUUGGGGGAAAAAGGCUUAGGGAACGUAGCUCCUCGGAGUGUUAUAGACCUUUGCAUAAUACCCUGAGCUGGACUGAGGUUCGCGCAUCUGCAAGGAUGCUGGCGUAAUGGUCAUCAGCGACCCGUCUUGAAACACGGACC
rnacentral:rRNA from 1 species